CCUACGGGAGGCAGCAGUGAGGAAUAUUGGUCAAUGGACGAGAGUCUGAACCAGCCAAGUAGCGUGAAGGAUGACUGCCCUAUGGGUUGUAAACUUCUUUUAUAUGGGAAUAAAGUGUUCCACGUGUGGCAUUUUGUAUGUACCUUAUGAAUAAGGAUCGGCUAACUCCGUGCCAGCAGCCGCGGUAAUACGGAGGAUCCGAGCGUUAUCCGGAUUUAUUGGGUUUAAAGGGAGCGUAGGUGGAUUGUUAAGUCAGUUGUGAAAGUUUGCGGCUCAACCGUAACAUUGCAGUUGAAACUGGCAGUCUUGAGUACAGUAGAGGUGGGCGGAAUGCGUGGUGUAGCGGUGAAAUGCUUAGAUAUCACGAAGAACUCCGAUUGCGAAGGCAGCUCACUGGACUGCAACUGACACUGAGGCUCGAAAGUGUGGGUAUCAAACAGGAUUAGAUACCCUUGUAGUC
rnacentral:rRNA from 1 species